rnacentral:rRNA from 1 species
AUGGCUUCCGGUGCUCAAGCCGCGAAGAUGGUGGCACUGAGCAUGAUGCUGGCCAUCCUGCUCGCCACCACGGCCGACUCCAAUCCCCAGCCAGACCGCACCUGCUCCGUGGAGUGCGCCUGCGCCGAGCAGUGCAGCCGCCAGUACCCUCGCGUCGACGACGACCCCCCUUUCAAGAUCACUCCUGUCUGCACACACCGCACGGAGCACGAGUUCUACGCUCGCCUCUACCUGCACCAUAGUUUUCAAGGGAAAUAUAGGAACCAACAAGACGUAUUGAGUAGUGAGUUGAAAAAUGACUUUGGAUCCUUGAUUGUUAAUGAUUGGGUCAUCACGGACGCACCUGGCCGUGACACCAAGGUUGUGGCUCACGCCAAGGGAAUCCAUAUCCAGGCCGGAAUGGACACCGAAGACUACUAUGUUUCUUUCAACAUGGUGUUCGACGAUGGCAGGUUUAAAGGGUCCACGCUUCAAGUCAUGGGAACCGUUGUCGCAGAAGGUGAAUGGGCUAUUCUGGGUGGAACAGGAGAAUUUGCAUUAGCUCGUGGAGUCAUUUAUAAAACCUACUCGAAAUACAUUAAUCAAGUGGGUGAUGUGAUUGAACUUGACAUUCAUUGUCUUUACACUGCUAUGGAAAGGUCAAAGGGUACUUAUUGGGCAUUGGAGGCAUGA